GAUGAACGCUGGCGGCGUGCUUAACACAUGCAAGUCGAACGGAAAGGCUCCUGCUUGCAGGGGUACUCGAGUGGCGAACGGGUGAGUAACACGUGGGUGAUCUGCCCUGCACUUCGGGAUAAGCCUGGGAAACUGGGUCUAAUACCGGAUAGGACCACAUUUUGGAUGGUGUGGUGGAAAGUUUUUCGGUGUGGGAUGAGCUCGCGGCCUAUCAGCUUGUUGGUGGGGUAAUGGCCUACCAAGGCGUCGACGGGUAGCCGGCCUGAGAGGGUGUACGGCCACAUUGGGACUGAGAUACGGCCCAGACUCCUACGGGAGGCAGCAGUGGGGAAUAUUGCACAAUGGGCGCAAGCCUGAUGCAGCGACGCCGCGUGGGGGAUGACGGCCUUCGGGUUGUAAACUCCUUUCGCUAGGGACGAAGCGCAAGUGACGGUACCUGGAGAAGAAGCAUCGGCUAACUACGUG
rnacentral:rRNA from 1 species